UUGACCUCGGAUCAGGUAGGAUUACCCGCUGAACUUAAGCAUAUCAAUAAGCGGAGGAAAAGAAACCAACAGGGAUUGCCUUAGUAACGGCGAGUGAAGCGGCAACAGCUCAGAUUUGGAAUCUGGCCCCCAGGGCCCGAGUUGUAAUCUGGAGAGGAUGCUUUUGGCGCGGCGCCUUCCGAGUUCCCUGGAACGGGACGCCGGAGAGGGUGAGAGCCCCGUACGGUUGGACGCCUAGCCUGUGUAAAGCUCCUUCGACGAGUCGAGUAGUUUGGGAAUGCUGCUCAAAAUGGGAGGUAAAUUUCUUCUAAAGCUAAAUACCGGCCAGAGACCGAUAGCGCACAAGUAGAGUGAUCGAAAGAUGAAAAGCACUUUGAAAAGAGGGUCAAACAGUACGUGAAAUUGUUGAAAGGGAAGCGCCCGUGGCCAGACUUGUGCCCGGCGGACCAACCGGCGCCAACAGCGCCGGUGCACUCUGUCGGGCGCAGGCCAGCAUCGGUUUUCCUAGGGGGAGAAAGACGGCGGGAACGUGGCUCCUUCGGGAGCGUUAUAGCCCGCCGUGUCAUGCCUCUGGGGGGACCGAGGACCGCGCAUUUUUGCAAGGAUGCUGGCGUAAUGGCCACCGGCGACCCGUCUUGAAACACGG
rnacentral:rRNA from 1 species